rnacentral:rRNA from 1 species
GAUGAACGCUGGCGGCGUGCCUAACACAUGCAAGUCGAGCGGCAGCGAGGGGUGCUUGCACCCUGCCGGCGAGCGGCGGACGGCUGAGUAACGCGUGGGAACGUGCCCCAAAGUGAGGAAUAACUGCCCGAAAGGGUAGCUAAUACCGCAUAUUAUCUUCGGAUCAAAGGAUUUAUCCGCUUUGGGAGCGGCUCGCGUCGGAUUAGGUAGUUGGUGAGGUAAUGGCUCACCAAGCCGACGAUCCGUAGCUGGUCUGAGGGGAUGACCAGCCAGACUGGAACUGAGACACGGUCUAGACUCCUACGGGAAGGAGCAGUGAGGAAUCUUCCACAAUGGGCGAAAGCCUGAUGGAGCAACGCCGCGUGCAGGACGAAGGCCUUCGGGUUGUAAACUGCUUUUAUAAGUGAGGAAUAUGACGGUAACUUAUGAAUAAGGAUCGGCUAACUACGUG